GAUGAACGCUGGCGGCGUGCUUAACACAUGCAAGUCGAACGGUGAAAGAGAGCUUGCUCUCUGGAUCAGUGGCGAACGGGUGAGUAACACGUGAGCAAUCUGCCCCUGACUCUGGGAUAAGCGCUGGAAACGGCGUCUAAUACCGGAUACGAGCUGCGAAGGCAUCUUCAGCAGCUGGAAAGAACUUCGGUCAGGGAUGAGCUCGCGGCCUAUCAGCUUGUUGGUGAGGGAAUGGCUCACCAAGGCGUCGACGGGGAGCCGGCCUGAGAGGGUGACCGGCCACACUGGGACUGAGACCCGGCCCAGACUCCUACGGGAGGCAGCAGUGGGGAAUAUUGCACAAUGGGCGCAAGCCUGAUGCAGCAACGCCGCGUGAGGGACGACGGCCUUCGGGUUGUAAACCUCUUUUAGCAGGGAAGAAGCGAAAGUGACGGUACCUGCAGAAAAAGCACCGGCUACCUACGUGCCAGCAGCCGCCGUAAUAC
rnacentral:rRNA from 1 species